rnacentral:sRNA from 12 species
CCCGAUGAGAUAACGGAUGCGCGAUAGGCUGGCUGAAUCACAACUGCCAAAGUGAUGUGGCGCAAGAAGAAGCGGGCAGUGCUUUUGUCUGCGGAACCAUCAAAAACAGAGCGGUCGUCAGUGAUGACCUACCAUAAAAAAACUCUCGCUCUGGCCCCACCCGGAUUUUGGCUCCUGCAUUGUUCCUCGGGUGAAAAAAUGUGGGGAAAAUAUUCCGUGAAAGCACCACGGUUUAUUUUUC